rnacentral:rRNA from 1 species
AUUGAACGCUGGCGGAAUGCUUUACACAUGCAAGUCGAGCGGCAGCGCGGGGGCAACCCUGGCGGCGAGCGGCGAACGGGUGAGUAACAUAUCGGAACGUACCCAGUCGUGGGGGAUAACUAUCCGAAAGGAUAGCUAAUACCGCAUACGUCCUGAGGGAGAAAGCGGGGGAUCGCAAGACCUCGCGCGAUUGGAGCGGCCGAUAUCGGAUUAGCUAGUUGGUGGGGUAAAGGCUCACCAAGGCGACGAUCCGUAGCGGGUCUGAGAGGACGACCCGCCACACUGGAACUGAGACACGGUCCAGACUCCUACGGGAGGCAGCAGUGGGGAAUUUUGGACAAUGGGGGCAACCCUGAUCCAGCCAUGCCGCGUGUGUGAAGAAGGCCUCGGUUGUAGG